CCUACGGGUGGCAGCAGUGGGGAAUAUUGCACAAUGGGGGAAACCCUGAUGCAGCGACGCCGCGUGAGUGAAGAAGUAUUUCGGUAUGUAAAGCUCUAUCAGCAGGGAAGAAAUAGCGACCUUUGGGUCGCCAGACGGUACCUGAUUAAGAAGCCCCGGCUAACUACGUGCCAGCAGCCGCGGUAAUACGUAGGGGGCAAGCGUUAUCCGGAUUUACUGGGUGUAAAGGGAGCGUAGACGGCAGCGCAAGUCUGAAGUGAAAUGCCGGGGCUUAACCCCGGAACUGCUUUGGAAACUGUGCAGCUAGAGUGCAGGAGAGGUAAGUGGAAUUCCUAGUGUAGCGGUGAAAUGCGUAGAUAUUAGGAGGAACACCGGCGGCGAAGGCGGCCUGCUGGACUGAAACUGACGUUGAGGCUCGAAAGCGUGGGGAGCAAACAGGAUUAGAUACCCCAGUAGUC
rnacentral:rRNA from 1 species